CCGAGUUUGUUCCUCUCUCAGCUUCAGUUUGUUGCUGUGGCUUUGACACACUUUCCUUUGCCUUUUGUUAUUUGAGAGAUCUCAGCAGCCUUCACUGUUAGUCAUUGAGUGGAACAGCUCUUAACAGAGACCUCGGAUAGACGUUUUUUUCCAGACUGUUGAAUUACAAACACAGGGUGCACCAUGAGGAAUAUUCUCACACCGCUCCUCAUCAUUAUCACGCUUUUCAAAUGGAGCCAGCAAGACAAAGUGGAACAGCCUGAUUCUGAAAUGACGGUUAAAGAGAGCAGCAAUGUCACACUAACCUGCAGCUUGAAGACAAGCGAUCUCAGCCCUUAUGUCUACUGGUACAAUCAGCUGCCGGGGCAGCCUCCACAGUACAUGGUUUAUAUGGUGACAGCAGGGUCUGAAAACAGAAAUCCAGAUUUGUCUGACAGAGUCUCUUUCACAUUUAAUAAAUCCACGAAGAUUACUGAGUUAGCAAUCCACAAGACCAUCUUCUCUGACUCCGCCAUGUAUUUCUGUGCUAUGAAGCCCACACUGAUGAAAAGUUAUGGCACAGCCCCGACAAAAACUCACUGA